rnacentral:rRNA from 1 species
CAAUAGCGUAUAUUAAAGUUGUUGCAGUUAAAAGCUCGUAGUUGGAUUUCUGGGAGGGUGCCAAUGUCCGUCGUCGUACGUGUUGCAGCGGCGCCCUUCCAUCCUUCUGUUAACGACUUUGGGCAUUCACUUGCCGGAGUCGGGCUCAGAUAUUUUACCUUUGAGAAAAUUAGAGUGUUUCAGGCAGGCUAGGCCGGAAUACAUUAGCAUGGAAUAAUGGAAUAGGACUACGGUCUCUUUGUUGGUUUGAGGGACUGCAGUAAUGAUUAAUAUGGAUAGUUGGGGGCGAUUAGUAUUUAAUUGUCAGAGGUGGAAUUCUCGGAUUUGUUUAAAGACAACUUAUGCGAAAGACAUUUGUCCAAGGAUGUUUUCUAUUAAUCAAGAACGAAAGUUAAGGGGAGUCGAAGAUGAUCAGAUACCGU